rnacentral:lncRNA from 1 species
CUCGCCCUUGAUGCACCUAACUUGGUCAAGAUCACGCGCCUUCCUUUCCCUUUCUUUAGCUAUCCGGAAUAACUUCCUGUCCCCGCCUUUCUCCCCUAAUUCCUCGUACAUGCGACCAAACGCCGCGUUUUUUGCUUCCGUGACCGCCAUCUUUGCUUCUUUCCUCGCCGCUUUGUAGAUCUCCAUGUUCGCUCUACGUUCUUCCUCGCUUGUGCUCCCUGCCAUCUUAGCAAACGCCGCCUUCUUUGCCUUCACUUUUCCUUGGACUACAUCGUUCCACCACCAGUCACCCUGAUGUCUGCCUGAAUAG